GAAGUGGGGGGUGAGUCACAUGGCCAAUGGGCCGUUCACGCUGGGCAAGCCCUGGAAACGGGGUCUAAUACCGGAUAACACUCUGUCCUGCAUGGGGCUCCGGCGGUGAAGGUGAGGCCGCGGCCUAUCUGCUUGUUGGUGGGGUAAUGGCCUACCAAGGCGACGACGGGUAGCCGGCCUGAGAGGGCGACCGCCCACACUGGGACGAGACACGGCCCAGACUCCCACGGGAGGCAGCAGUGGGGAAUAUUGCACAAUGGGCGAAAGCCUGAUGCAGCGACGCCGCGUGAGGGAUGAGGGAAGAAGCGAAAGUGACGGUACCUGCAGAAGAAGCGCCGGCUAACUACGUGCCAGCAGCCGCGGUAAUACGUAGGGCGCCGUUGUCCGGAAUCAUUGGGCGUAAAGAGCUCGUAGGCGGCUUGUCACGUCGGAUGUGAAAGCCCGGGGCUUAACCCCGGGUCUGCAUUCGAUACGGGCUAGCUAGAGUGUGGUAGGGGAGAUCGGAAUUCCUGGUGUAGCGGUGAAAUGCGCAGAUAUCAGGAGGAACACCGGUGGCCAAGGCGGAUCUCUGGGCCGUUACUGACGCGAGGAGCGAAAGCGUGGGGAGCGAACAGGAUUAGAUACCCUGGUAGUCCACGCCGUAAACGUUGGGAACUAGGUGUUGGCGACAUUCCACGUCGUCGGUGCCGCAGCUAACGCAUUAAGUUCCCCGCCUGGGGAGUACGGCCGCAAGGCUAAAACUCAAAGGAAUUGACGGGGGCCCGCACAAGCAGCGGAGCAUGUGGCUUAAUUCGACGCAACGCGAAGAACCUUACCAAGGCUUGACAUAUACCGGGAAAGCAUCAGAGAUGGUGCCCCCCUUUGUGGUCGGUAUACAGGUGGUGCAUGGCUGCGUCAGCUCGUGUCGUGAGAUGUUGGGUUAAGUCCCGCCGAGCGCAACCCUUGUUCUGUGUUGCCUGCAAGCCCUUCGGGGUGAUGGGGACUCACAGGAGACUGCCGGGGUCAACUCGGAGGAAGGUGGGGACGACGUCCAGUCAUCACCGCCCGUCACGUCCGCAGUUGCGAACA
rnacentral:rRNA from 1 species